UACGGAGGGUGCAAGCGUUAUCCGGAUUCACUGGGUUUAAAGGGUGCGUAGGUGGGCAGGUAAGUCAGUGGUGAAAUCUCCGGGCUUAACCCGGAACUGCCGUUGAUACUAUCUGUCUUGAAUAUAGUGGAGGUGAGCGGAAUAUGUCAUGUAGCGGUGAAAUGCUUAGAUAUGACAUAGAACACCAAUUGCGAAGGCAGCUCGCUACACUAUCAUUGACACUGAGGCACGAAAGCGUGGGGAUCAAACAGG
rnacentral:rRNA from 1 species